GGAAGGUCCUCCUUGAUGAUCAGGUACAUAUAGUAAAGCACCUGGAAAUGUCAUGUCUUAGUAAAAAAGCUGAACUCUCCUUAUCAAAAAGUACUCCAUACUUCAAAUAACAAAGUUCAAACACAGCCUUCAAAAGGUAAAGCCAAUCUGCAAGUAACUUGGCUUCCAGAACAAAGCCCAAUACUCUUCCCAGUGUAGGGAAAACUACACAAUCUAGAUAUUCAAUAAUAUGAAACUUACAUUGCCCUGUAUUUGAUUUUAAAAAUACACAAUAGAGAUCCCCAAACAGAACUAUGUCACUCAUAAUCAGGAGAAAAUUUGUCAAUAGAAACAAAAAUAUUAGAGAUGAUGAAGUUAGAAAAUCAAAAUGCUAAAACACCAUUAUAACCAUGUUCAAGGGUUUAAAAGAAAAUAUGAACCUAAUGAGAAGCAGAAGAAUUUUUUUAGUGGAACAGAAUAGCACAAUAUUUGGAAAAAAUAACUAUGAAUUAAUAGGAGAAAGACCACAUGAGUGAAUGUGGUGAGGAGCUAAGUCAACUUAAAGACACAGCACUAGAAAGUACAAAAAUAAAGCAAAGAGGGAAAAAAGGUGAAAAUAAAAAUGAGCAGAGCAUCUGUGACUUAUGAAAAAAAAUCAUGUAGCCUACCACUCAUAAUUGGAGUUCUGCAAGGAAUAAAUAAUUUUUUAAAAGAAAUAAUAGCUUAAAAUGGCUAAAUUUGGAGAAAACUCAGACCUAAGGAAUCCAAGAAACUCCAUGCAGAAUAAGCAUUUAGAAAUAUAUCUUAUGAAAAACUUGCAGCUAACAUUCAAAUUCAUAAUGAAAGACUAAAUGCUAUCUUCUGAGGUCAGAAGCAAGGAGAUUUUUUUCUCAACAUUUGCUAUUCAACAUUAUACUGUAGGUAUUAUAAUGUAGGUUCUUAGCAGUUCGGUAGUAAGAAAACAGAAAUUAAUGUUCAAGAGAUCUGCAGGUGGAUGCAUCAUGGUGAAAAAUGUUGAAAGAGGAGAAAAAUCUUAAAACAGCAAGAGAAAUAUAACUAGUACUCACAGGGGAACUCUAAUAAAAUCAGCAGAUUACUUUCCAUUAGAAAUAAUGGAAGCCAUAAUGGAGGAAUAAUAUACUCAAUGUCUGAAAACAAAAAAAAAACACCCUGGUAAUCAAGAAUGCUAUAUCCAAUAAAAUUACCUUUUAAAAAAUGAAGGUGAACCAAAAAAAUGCUCAGAUAAAUAAAAAC
rnacentral:lncRNA from 1 species